AUUCAAAUCCCCACUCUCUCCCAGAGCCGGCAAAGAGGAGAAAGGACUCAAGGGACAUACAAACUGAUACCAAUUUUCCACCAGGCGAUGUGCAAACUAUACCUGCAUCUUGUGUGUUUUAUCCUAUUUUUACUCAAAUAAAAGUUUUACCAGAGAGCACUAUGUCUCUGCUAUUCUCAUUAUAGAUUUACCCCACAGUGGGAUCCUGACACAGAAAUAAUCAUCUGGACUAUACAAACAAUUAAGAUUUUUAAGUUGUAUUAGUGCUGAUGCCAUAUACUGGAUUUUAUCCUAAUAAUAAAAUUAUUCAGGUUAUUUAGGAAGUCCCUAGACUUUUUACCAUAUUAGGGUUUACUUCACUACACUUUCAUUAAGCUAAUACAUUGUUAAAU